rnacentral:lncRNA from 1 species
CAGCUGUAGCUCCGACUGGACCCCUAGCCUGGGAAAAAAAAAUUAAAAUAAAUACAUAAAUAAAUAAAUAAAUUAGGAGAGGAUUUCAGAAUAUCCCGUGAGAAGGUGAAAUCCCUUUGUGUGGAACAUCUCAGACCCAGAGACUUAGCUCUUUCCUUUAAAUCUGCUUGUCGUUUGUCUGCAGGAGGGAGAAGGGAGGAGUGAUCACACUUAACUUUCGUACAUUUUACAGCCGUAUCUUCCACGCUAAUAUAAAUCUUGUAGCUGAAAAAGUCUACAGAAUGUAAGAACCAGGCCAGGCCAAAUCCUCUGUUUUUUGGCAACACUUACUCCAUCUGUCUUUAUGGUUGACAAACACAUCAAUUUUUACUCUAAAUCAAAAUGAUGGGUUUCCUAGCAGCCCUAGCGUGUUUCCAGCACCAGCCCAGGGGACUCCAGGGAUGACCAGGGAUGACCAGGCCCCUCCCACCUAGCUUGUCUCUUUAGGGACCAUCUCUAGUCAGAGGAGAUCAAGUUUAACCGGACUCCCUUACAGAGCAGAGGACAAGGUCCCACAGAGCCUCGGCCAAGGCGGGGAGGGUGCAAGAGAGGCUCAGCUUCACGAUGGGGGCAGGAGGUUCGAGGGCCCUUUCCUCUCCAUCCUGGGCCCCAACCCCACCCUUACAGACUCUCGCACUUAGUCUUGGAGACAAAGGAGGGCCAACAGGAUGCGCCCAGGAGUAACAGCAGAGACUGUUCAUGAAGCCCUAAUGUGUCGGAUUCGUUUCCUUUUCACGAUGGCUUUUAAGUGAGUGUCCCUGCCUCGCGGAAGAGAGAGCUCUGUCUGGGGAUUUGAAGCACCUGUGCAGUUAGUUGGAAGAUUAUCGAGCCAGGAUCUGAGCCUGUAUCGCCUCAAAGCCCAAUUCUACACUAGUCCAUCCAUUCGUUCCCCAAGCCUGCCUGUGAGAAGAUAAAAAUGAGUGACGUUUUCCCAUAAAUGCAAAUUCACAUCUUUUUAAGUUGGCGAUUAUAUUCUCAGAGUUGUGUGUGUGUGUUAAACUGUCCAUUUCUUUCUUGAAAUCAUGGUGAUGGUAGAUAGAAGUUCUCUCCUCCUCCCCCACUUCUCCCCCC